UACGUAGGGUGCGAGCGUUGUCCGGAAUUAUUGGGCGUAAAGGGCUCGUAGGCGGUUUGUCGCGUCGGGAGUGAAAACCUUGGGCUUAACUCAGGGCUUGCUUUCGAUACGGGCAGACUAGAGGUAUGCAGGGGAGAACGGAAUUCCGGGUGGAGUGGUGAAAUGCGUAGAGAUCCGGAGGAACACCAAAGGCGAAGGCAGUGUCCUGGGGAGUACCUGACGCUCAGGUGCGAAAGCCAGGGGAGCGAACGGG
rnacentral:rRNA from 1 species